rnacentral:misc_RNA from 1 species
AAAGACACUGUUGAGAAGUUGGUAGGCCUCUGAAACUUUUGAUAAUAGUGUCAUUAAAUUUGAGCUUAGUAAAAAAUAUAUCCAUUUUUCUGUUCAAAUAUUUCACUCACUAGAAGUGGAAUGACUUAUUUUGCCUCGAAUCCUACAUUAUAAUUUUUAUCCAUGCAGUUCCUUUCACAAUUGAAGAGUUCGAUUUUGCCUCUAAUGUAAAUCUGGUAGCACCAAUAAAAUUGAAUUCUG